rnacentral:rRNA from 1 species
UACAGAGGUCUCAAGCGUUGUUCGGAUUCAUUGGGCGUAAAGGGUGCGUAGGUGGCGCUGUAAGUCGGGUGUGAAAUUUCGGAGCUUAACUCCGAAACUGCAUUCGAUACUGCGGUGCUUGAGGACUGGAGAGGAGACUGGAAUUCAUGGUGUAGCAGUGAAAUGCGUAGAGAUCAUGAGGAACACCAGUGGCGAAGGCGGCUCACUGGCCCGGUACUGACGCUGAGGAGCGAAAGCGUGGGGAGCGAACAGG